ensembl:misc_RNA Metazoa_SRP Metazoan signal recognition particle RNA
GCCAGGCAUGGUGGUGGGCGCCUGUAAUCCCAGCUACUUGGGAGGCUGAGGCAGGAGAAUCACUUGAACCCAGGAGGCGGAGGCUGCAGUGAGCCGAGAUUGUGCCACUGCACUCCAGCCUGGGUGACAGAGUGAGACUCUGUCUCAG